rnacentral:rRNA from 1 species
AAACCAACAGGGAUUGCCCUAGUAACGGCGAGUGAAGCGGCAACAGCUCAAAUUUGAAAUCUGGCUUCGGCCCGAGUUGUAAUUUGCAGAGGAUGCUUCUGGCGCGGUGCCUUCCGAGUUCCCUGGAACGGGACGCCACAGAGGGUGAGAGCCCCGUAUGGUCGGACACCAAGCCUGUGUGAAGCUCCUUCGACGAGUCGAGUAGUUUGGGAAUGCUGCUCUAAAUGGGAGGUAAAUCUCUUCUAAAGCUAAAUACCGGCCAGAGACCGAUAGCGCACAAGUAGAGUGAUCGAAAGAUGAAAAGCACCUUGAAAAGGGGGUUAAAUAGUACGUGAAAUUGUUGAAAGGGAAGCACUUAUGACCAGACUUGGGCCGGGCGGCUCAUCAGGGGUUCUCCCCUGUGCACUCCGCCCGGCACAGGCCAGCAUCGGUUCUCGUGGGGGGAUAAGACCGUCAGGAACGUAGCACCCUCCGGGGUGUGUUAUAGCCUGGCGGACGAUACCCUCGUGGGGACCGAGGUUCGCGCUCCGCAAGGAUGCUGGCGUAAUGGUCAUCAGUGAC